CGCGGCCCGGCGGGGGCUGGGGGCGGGGGGCGCCCCCGGGGCUCCGCAGGCGUCUCUCCCGCAGACGGUGUUGCCGCCCUUUGUGAAGAAACCGAACCGCCGAGAGGUGAAGGUGACUUGUCCAAGGUCACAUACGAAGCAAUGGACAGGACCAGAAUUGGAACCCAAGUUCUGCCUCCAGCUAUGCGGUCCUUAGAGAUGGGGGCAAAUGGCUAAAUUUCUGGGAUCCUCACUCCCACUCCAUUCCCACAUACACUGACUGAAUUUCA